AGAUACAUACACCGGUUUAACCCAAAACUUACUUCGAGUGUGCAUCUCAGCUGGAACAGUACAGCUGACAGAGGUUGUGAGUGCGGGGCAUCCAUGCCUGUAUGAGUUGGAUUGAUUGAAACAGAAUACGGAAUACCGAUAGUGCCGCAGCUCCGGCAUAGUUGGAUGUUAGCGCACCGUUGGUAUCCAUUUAGUGAUUGGACCUGCCUCUAUUUUUUCGGAAUAAACAUUAAAAAUACAUCUGGAUAUCAUCACAGAAAUCUGGUCAACAUGGCACCAAGGCACCAUUUUGGGCCUUCCAGUGCCCUUCAAUGUGGAUUCAUAUUCAUGUUUUGUAUACUGAGUGCGAUUCACCAAGCAAGCCCCCAAGGUUAUGAAGGUAAGAUUAUAAACAAUACAAGAACUUUGAUUAUCAUCUUUGAUUAUCAAUUUACAAACAUUUAUAGAUCUUCAGGUUCCCAGCAGAAUAUUUGAUGGAUAGUGAUCUGAAAAGUGGAUGAUAAUGUGUGUGUAAAACUGUACAUGCAUCGAUAUAACAACAUUUAAUUCUCUAUUCAUGCUCAAUUGAAUCUUUGUGUAAUGCAGACUCUUUGUUGAAGAGUUUGGUAUGAAUGACUUAGAAUCUAGGUCGUUGUGUUCAAAGUUGAUAUAUUUUUGUUAUUAAUCAUGUGUUAGAUACUGUAGAGGGUAUGGCUUGAAUGUGAAAGUCUGUCAUGUAGAAAUGAUUGAUAUUUGUCAGUAUGUCUAGAACUCUAGAUACCUGUUGAUAGUGGAUUGUUAUUUUGUGUAGACUGUAGAGGUUUGUAUAUUUUUAGUUCAAUUUUGUGGAUUUCUACUGAGCACAGCUCAGGUCAGGCAAAAGAUUACCGGUAUAUUGCCUAAAAGAAAUUCCCAAGUAUUUUCUUUUUGUUUUUACAACCAGAUUUGGUAAUUCCCACUCAUCUUGAAUUCUUUAUUAAUUAAGACACAUUGAAGUGUGGUGUCAAACUUUCUUGUAUCCAUAUUGAAAGUGAUUGAAGUGUGCAUAAAUCGUCAUAGUUCUGUAAAAAACAUAUAUGAUGCCUGCCUGUUGUAGCAGUGCUUUAGCUUUCCUAAUGUUGAAUACCUGUACUACUCAUAGAGAAAUAGCUGCUGGUGAAAUAACAAAAUGUAGCACUCAGACAAAAACAUUGUCUGCCAAGCAUCACCUUUGUUGGUUGGACGCUAAUGAGACGUAGGAGUAGCCCAGCCACCCAUCAAUGUUUUAGUUAGCAUUCUUCACCUUGAAACAUGCCAGAACGAGGGCCUGACCUCCGCGGAGCCAUCGUAACAGACAAGAACCCAGCAUGAUUGGUCGUGAACAUGAACAUUAGUCUGACAAGGUGUCGCCCAACGUCAUGACUAAUUCUUUAGAGAUUUGAGCAGGAGAUUAUGGAUCUGGUAUUAAAUAUGGGCCAGCAAGGAUGCACGGUUUGUUUCUUGGCACCUGGGUUGCGAAAAAGGUGAUGUCGUGCGGCGAUGAUGGAGGAAAAAUGUCCGGCAAACGUAGACCUGUCUUAAUAGAUGACAGCACAUGGAUUUUAGAUGCAAUGUUGUACAGGAUAAAGGAUAGUCUUACUUCCAUGGGAAACAAGUAAGUCCAGCCUUCUUGGCCAUAUACGGUAGUGAUAGGAUGAAUUAGCUAUACUGUCUCUUCUAAAUCAGUCUGAUGUUUGCCAUAAAUUGUCAAGGAUGGAUAUUAGGGCUUUGCCUUUCUAAACUUUUCCCUCGAUGUAGGAAAGAUGAAAUGGAUUGAUGCAGUUAACUCUACUUGGAAACUAUGGUCUAUUAUAUUAUGAAGGCAAAAAAAAAGUCAUGUCAAACAAUUUGCUUUGAAUUAG
rnacentral:lncRNA from 1 species